UGGGGAAUAUUGCACAAUGGAGGGAACUCUGAUGCAGCGACGCCGCGUGAGUGAUGAAGGAAUUCGUUUCGUAAAACUCUGUUCUAUGGGAAGAAACCGCACUGUGCUAAUCAGCAGUGCCUUGACGGUACCUUCAAAGGAAGCACCGGCUAACUCCGUGCCAGCAGCCGCGGUAAUACGGAGGGUGCAAGCGUUAAUCGGAAUUACUGGGCGUAAAGCGCACGUAGGCUGCUUUGUAAGUCAGGGGUGAAAUCCCACGGCUCAACCGUGGAACUGCCUUUGAUACUGCUUAGCUUGAAUCCGGGAGAGGGUGGCGGAAUUCCAGGUGUAGGAGUGAAAUCCGUAGAUAUCUGGAGGAACAUCAGUGGCGAAGGCGGCCACCUGGACCGGUAUUGACGCUGAGGUGCGAAAGCGUGGGGAGCAAACAGG
rnacentral:rRNA from 1 species